rnacentral:rRNA from 1 species
UACGAAGGGGGCGAGCGUUGUUCGGAUUUACUGGGCGUAAAGGGCGCGCAGGCGGCUUAUUUUGUCAGGCGUGAAAGCCCCGGGCUUAACCUGGGAACUGCGUUUGAUACGGAUGGGCUGGAGUUCGGGAGAGGAGCGUGGAAUUCCCAGUGUAGAGGUGAAAUUCGUAGAUAUUGGGAAGAACACCGGUGGCGAAGGCGGCGCUCUGGACCGAGACUGACGCUGAGGCGCGAAAGCGUGGGGAGCAAACAGG